AUUCUGCCCAUGCGGGGAAGGAUGAGAAGCUUCGACCAAGGUUCGACUCGAGUGCCAGCGAGAGAGCGUUGCCGCGAGCACGACCCGUAGGGCGAAGCGCGCAGCGCUGAGUAAUCCUUCCCCCACCACCA
rnacentral:sRNA from 1 species